UGGCGAACGGCUGAGUAAUGCGAAGGUAACUACCCUUCAGUGGGGAAUAUCUCCGAGAAAUCGGAGCCAAUACCGCAUAUCGUCAUCACACGCGAGUGUGAUGAUGAAAGCCUUCGGGCGCUGGAGGAUGGGCCUUCGUCCCAUCAGGCAGUUGGCAGGGUAACGGCCUACCAAACCUGAGACGGGUAGCUGGUCUGAGAGGAUGGUCAGCCAGAUGGGGACUGAGAUACGGNCCCAACUCCUACGGGAGGCAGCAGCAAGGGAUAUUGCGCAAUGGACGAAAGUCUGACGCAGCGACGCCGCGUGAGGGAUGAAGGCCUUCGGGUCGUAAACCUCUUUUAUUGGUGAAGAGUAAGGACGGUAACCAAUGAAUAAGCCUCGGCUAACUACGUGCCAGCAGCCGCGGUAAUACGUAGGAGGCGAGCGUUAUCCAGAUUUACUGGGCGUAAAGCGCGUGUAGGCGGCUUUUUAAGUUGGCAGUGAAAGGUUCCGGCUCAACUGGGAUUUGCCUGUCAAUACUGGGGAGCU
rnacentral:rRNA from 1 species